rnacentral:ncRNA from 2 species
AAUUUACAGGCAGACCUUGGUUCUGAUGGGGCACAGCCAUCAGAGGUAACGGGGAAAAUUCGGUGUAAGUCCGAUGCUGUCCCGCAGCUGUGAUGAGACUAACAAGAUUGUCUCUUAGUCAGAAUGCCCGCCAGAGGUAAAAAAACAUA